AAUGGCCACUCAGACAUUAAUUAAUCUAAGAUCAAACGAAAGGGCAUGUGUCUGAAUCGGAGAGAGAGAGGAGUACGGUUCGAGUUCUUGGAUUUGUUGAGGAUUGUGUAUGUGGUAACUUUUUUCCGAGGAGGUUUAUUAUCGUCGGCGUCUUGAUCUUUGCCGGAGAUACCUUAGACGUUAUCACUUCCAGAUCUGCUCUCAUGAUCCUCUUCACGGCUUCUUUUGUUCGUCGCUUCCCUUCGAAAUUGUUAUCGUUAUUGUUGUUCCUCAUGGACGCUUCUCCACGAUCGUGAACUGCUCAAUCACAAGAAAACAAAGAGGAUGAGGGAGAAGAAACCCAGAAAAAUAAUGGAGGAGAGAGAAGGAGAACGAAAGCUGAUUUUCUUUUCCUAAUUUUUCUAUCUUCUUGGCUCUUCGUUCUCAGUCUCUCUUCCAUUUCCGUUUGCUCUUCCUCUUCUUUGUUUCCGAUAUGAGUUAUUCAAUGACCUCAACUGAGUUUUCCUUUUCCGUGUCCUUAGGUUUUCCUAGACGACCACCGUCUCUUGAAAGUCCAGCCGGUAACACCUCUGAGCGACUUCAAUUGAUACAGUUACCGCUGUAAAUCAUUGCACUGAAUCGGAGCUCUCGCUACUUAGUCUUCAAUUCUAUAUCAACGUGUGUGGUGUGGAGCCCGGCGGAGCUGCUUCAAAACGGCUGAAGCUUUGGAAGCGAGCACAGAUCUGGUUUCUUCCUCUUCACGAUUUUGCUAGAGGACGGUGAGGACGAAGUGGUGGUUUUUAGAUCUGUUUCGAGCGGAAGCGGUGGAGGUCGUGAUGAGCAGCUUCGGGUAUAGAUCGGCAUGGAGGGAAACACGGCGAGUCAAGAUUGGCCAGUGGAGAUCGCUUGCCCCGGCGAGAUCCACAGCUCCAGCAAGGUCCACAGAGAAAUCAGAAACAGAACUAAAGCUGAUACAAAAAAACAUUCGUUAUGACAACAAUGAUGAUAAUUAAGUUAUGGGAUCCACAUUCGUCUUUUACUCGAGCAUCCUCUUUGAGAAACGCCAAAUGAAAGACUGUGAAAGGAUCAUCUAUACAAUGUACACACAUGUUGGUGACUAAGUUUGCAACAUCUUAGAAACAAUGAAAUAGCCGUAUCUUAUAGAUUUCCAGUGGAAAAAGGUUGAAGAACCAAAAGAGUUCACACUUGAGCUGUUCUUUGAGGCUUAAUGCACUGAAGAACAAUGAGAUUGCCGGUUUGGAGAACCCUUACUACCAUAACACUGUCUUCACCAAGACAUCUCACAUGAUUGAUAAAGAUAAGCUUAUCCUCGAGAUGGCCAUUGGGUCCAGGAGUAACAAGAGAAGCUGGAGUAUGAUGAAAGGAAGCCAAAAGUGAGAAGAAAAGGAGAGGAGAGAUUCAUCACGAGUAUGUUGUAUAUAUACCCUAUGUGUCUCAGUUUUUUCACCAGACCAAUAGUGUAAGAAUUUAUUGUCACUCGUGAUGAUGGCCAAUAGAUAAAAGAAAAUAAUGACCACUCCAACAAGAGGUCGUAUUUUUUUUUUUUUUCACUCGUGAUAUAAAUAUAAAGUUUUGGCCU